UAAUAUUACGCACUUUAUGGUGUUUUUGCAAAAUUAAAAGGGAAUGUGGUGAAAAUCCACAACAGCCACCGUUACUGUAAGAGCUACGAAACUCUAAGAAUCAACAUGAUAACCACUGAGUAUAUAAACUUGGGAAGGUAGAGGAGUAGGUUUGAAGCUUUAAGUCAGGAGACCUGCCAUUAAGUAUUAAAAAUU
rnacentral:ncRNA from 2 species